AUUGAACGCUGGCGGCAGGCCUAACACAUGCAAGUCGAGCGGAUGAAGGGAGCUUGCUCCUGGAUUCAGCGGCGGACGGGUGAGUAAUGCCUAGGAAUCUGCCUGGUAGUGGGGGAUAACGUCCGGAAACGGACGCUAAUACCGCAUACGUCCUGAGGGAGAAAGUGGGGGAUCUUCGGACCUCACGCUAUCAGAUGAGCCUAGGUCGGAUUAGCUAGUUGGUGGGGUAAAGGCCUACCAAGGCGACGAUCCGUAACUGGUCUGAGAGGAUGAUCAGUCACACUGGAACUGAGACACGGUCCAGACUCCUACGGGAGGCAGCAGUGGGGAAUAUUGGACAAUGGGCGAAAGCCUGAUCCAGCCAUGCCGCGUGUGUGAAGAAGGUCUUCGGAUUGUAAAGCACUUUAAGUUGGGAGGAAGGGCAGUAAGUUAAUACCUUGCUGUUUUGACGUUACCAACAGAAUAAGCACCGGCUAACUUCGU
rnacentral:rRNA from 1 species